rnacentral:lncRNA from 1 species
CCAUAUUAGACUUAGAUGUCAUGACUCCUUAGCAAGUUCCAGGCUAUGACAGUCCUGUGUAUCCAGCUGUCUUCUUAUGUUCCUGUUCCUAUGAAUCACAGUCAUGUGAUGAGCAUCUUUAUAAUACAAGACAGAAGGUCAGAGCAUGUCUGUCUGAAUCACAUUGUGUAUCAUAUCACUGGGAGUUGCUGA